ACUGUUCAUAAUAUUUCGAUAUAUAAUAGAAUAAUAGUAGAAGAGAUAAAUAAUAGAUUAGAAGAACUAAAUUAUGAUAUAUAAAUUGUAAUAAGAAUAUUCAGUAUUAUUUGAAAGAUUGAAUGAAGAAUAAAGAGUUAUUUAUUAUACCAUGUUAAAUGCUUUGAAUGAAGAUAAAGAUGGAUUAUUUUUUGUAGGU
rnacentral:lncRNA from 1 species